rnacentral:rRNA from 1 species
UACGAACUGUGCAAACGUUAUUCGGAAUCACUGGGCUUAAAGGGUGCGUAGGCGGCUGUCUAAGCAGGGUGUGAAAGCCCCCGGCUCAACCGGGGAAUUGCGUUCUGAACUGGACGGCUGGAGUGGGAUAGGGGUGUGUGGAACUUCCGGUGGAGCGGUGAAAUGUGUUGAUAUCGUAAGGAACACCUGUGGCGAAAGCGGCUUACUGGGUCUUUUCUGACGCUGAUGCACGAAAGCUAGGGGAGCAAACGGG